rnacentral:rRNA from 1 species
ACGUAGGGUGCGAGCGUUAAUCGGAAUUACUGGGCGUAAAGGGUGCGCAGGUGGUUACGUAAGUCUGAUGUGAAAGCCCCGGGCUCAACCUGGGAACUGCAUUGGAGACUGCGUGGCUAGAGUGUGGCAGAGGGGGGUGGAAUUCCGCGUGUAGCAGUGAAAUGCGUAGAGAUGCGGAGGAACACCAAUGGCGAAGGCAGCCCCCUGGGUUAACACUGACACUCAUGCACGAAAGCGUGGGGAGCAAACAGGA